AGCUGCACACUUUUUCCUCACCAUGACACUGCUGCCCUGACCGUUCAUCCUGUGUAACGUAUGGCAGUACUUGGUACCUGGUGGAAACAAACAAGAUGAUGCUGACUCUUGCCAGAUGAUGCUGAGUUACAGUGCAGAGCACAUGAUGGUUACAACUACAAGCUUCACACUAUCAAAGAUGGCAGAGUGGUCCAGGAAGAUGACUAGGUUCAAGAGAUCACAGCUUCUCAUCUUCAAAGUAUGGCACUCUGAUUCCGUAUUAAAUGGCACGCAAAUUUGCAGAACUGAAAACA